AGAGUUUGAUCCUGGCUCAGGACGAACGCUGGCGGCGUGCUUAACACAUGCAAGUCAAGGGGGCCCAGCAAUGGGCAACCGGCGAACGGGUGCGUAACACGUGAGCAACCUACCGAACUGUGGGGGAUAGCCGGCCUAACGGCCGAGUAAUACCGCAUACGCUUUCAGUGAGGCAUUUCAUUGAAAGGAAACCUACGGGACAGAUCGAGGGGCUCGCGGCCUAUCAGCUAGUUGGCGAGGUAACGGCUCACCAAGGCAACGACGGGUAGCUGGUCUGAGAGGAUGGCCAGCCACAUUGGGACUGAGAUACGGCCCAGACUCCUACGGGGAGGCAGCAGUGGGGGAAUCUUGCGGCAAUGGCCUAACGGCUGACGCAGCGACGCCCGCGUUGUUGGGAUGAAAGCUUCUUCGGAAGUGGUAAAACCCACCUGUGUUGCCCCGGGGACGAAUUAGCUUCGAUUAAAUCCGAAGCCCUGGAACAGUACCCGGGGUUGAAGGAAAGCCACCCGGCCAAACUUUCCGUGGGCCGCAGCCCGCCGGUUAAUAACGGGGGGGUGCGGAGACGGUUUGUCCCGGAAAUUACCUGGGGCGUUAAAGGGGCGGCGUAAGGUGUGGUUUUGGAUAAAAGGGUGUGGGGUGAAAAUUCCCGGGGCUCUCACCCCCCGGAUCUUGCGCGUGGCCCACUGGUUAAACUCUGAAGGACUGUAAAGAGCCGAACAGGAAAUUCUCGGGUGGUAGACGGGUGGGAAUUGCGAUAGAGUACUCCAGAGGAGCUCCGGUGAGACGAGGCUGUUCUGCUGAGCCAUCUUCUGACCUCUGGAGGCCGCGACCAGCGUGCGGGAGCAAACCAGGGAUUAGAUCCCGUGAUAGUCCCACCGCUGUACACCGAUGGGUUACUAGGUGCCGUGGGGGAGCGCCCCUCGUGUGUGCCGGCGCUACCGCAGGAAUGUACCCCCGCCCUGGGGAUUACGACCCGCAAGGUUGAAACUUCAAAGGAAUUGGACGGGGGCCCCCCACAAAGCGGUGGACCAUGUGGUUUAAUUUCGACGCACCGCGAAGAACCCUACCCUAAGCCUUGGACAUGACCGACCAAGCUUCUCAGAAAACGAGAAGCCCCUUCUUUGGAAGUUCGUCACCAGGUGCUGCCAUGGCUGGUCGUUCAGCUUCGGGUCGUGAAGAUGUUGGGGUUAAGUCCCGCCAACGAGCCGCAACCCCUGUUCUUUAGUUGCCCAGCGCGUAAUGGCGGGGACUCUAGGAAGACUGCCCGGUGCCAAACCGGAGGAAGGUGGGGACGACGUCAAGUCAUCAUGGUCCUUACGUCUAGGGCUACACACGUGCUACAAUGGGCGGGACAGAGGGGGCCGAGGCAGCAAUGCCAAGGCAAUCCCAAAACCCGUCCUCAGUUCGGAUUGUCGUCUGCAACUCGACGGCAUGAAGCUGGAAUCGCUAGUAAUCGUGGAUCAGCAUCGCCACGGUGAAUACGUUCCCGGGCCUUGUACACACCGCCCGUCACGCCAUGGAAGUGGUGAGCGCCCGAAGUCCGUGUCGGAACCCGCAAGGGGCCAAGCGGCCGAAGGCGAGCAUCAUGACUGGGGCGAAGUCGUAACAAGGUAACC
rnacentral:rRNA from 1 species